GGAGUUAGCCGGUGCUUCUUCUGUGAGUGAUGUCCUUCCUGCCGGCUAUUAACCCGCAGGCCUUCUUCCUCACUGAAAGUGCUUUACAACCCGAAGGCCUUCUUCACACACGCGGCAUGGCUGGAUCAGGGUUGCCCCCAUUGUCCAAUAUUCCCCACUGCUGCCUCCCGUAGGAGUCUGGGCCGUGUCUCAGUCCCAGUGUGGCUGAUCAUCCUCUCAGACCAGCUACGGAUCGUCGCCUUGGUGAGCCGUUACCUCACCAACCAGCUAAUCCGACAUAGGCUCAUCCGAUAGCGCGAGGCCCGAAGGUCCCCCGCUUUCCCCCGUAGGGCGUAUGCGGUAUUAGCCUGGGUUUCCCCAGGUUAUCCCCCACUACCGGGCAGAUUCCUAUGCAUUACUCACCCGUCCGCCGCUCGCCACCAGGGAGCAAGCUCCCCGUGCUGCCGCUCGACUUGCAUGUGUUAGGCCUGCCGCCAGCGUUCAAUCUGAGCCAGNGNACAACUCACNCUAGCGGCGGNGUCGACGACGGCGCAG
rnacentral:rRNA from 1 species